CUGGCGGCAGGCCUAACACAUGCAAGUCGAACGAGAACGCACCUUCGGGUGUUAUUAAAGUGGCGGACGGGUGAGUAACGCGUGGGAACCAACCCUGGAGUGGGGGACAACAGCUGGAAACGGCUGCUAAUACCGCAUACGCCCUACGGGGGAAAGAUUUAUUGCUCUAGGACGGGCCCGCGUCGGAUUAGCUUGUUGGUGAGGUAACGGCUCACCAAGGCAACGAUCUGUAGCUGGUCUGAGAGGAUGAUCAGCCACACUGGGACUGAGACACGGCCCAGACUCCUACGGGAGGCAGCAGUGGGGAAUAUUGGACAAUGGGGGAAACCCUGAUCCAGCCAUGCCGCGUGAGUGAAGAAGGCCUUAGGGUUGUAAAACUCUUUCACCUGUGAAGAUGAUGAC
rnacentral:rRNA from 1 species